GUCUGCGGCGCCGCCCUCGCCCAGCUCUCGGCCGGCUGAGUCACGGCCCGCCCGCCGCCCCGGCCUAGCAGGACCCACGCCCGCCGCCCCGCAGCCGCUGCCUCCCGCGCCGGGGGGCCCUUCACCCCUCACCCGAACAGCCGGAGACUGCGCCUCUGGCCACUGCCGUAGCCACUGGCGGCUAGUGGAGACCUCCUUCACUUUUUAUCCCCCUCCUUUCCCAGUUCAUUCUUGGCUUCUCCGGGGGGUCAGUGCGGUGACCCUGUAGGUCGGGCUUGGAGGGCGCCGGGUCUGCGGCAACAGACUGCCCUCCUCUGGGCGCUGGGCGGCCGGCUGCCUCCGAGGCCCGGGCGGCCUCCGCGGUCUCCAUGGUAACGGCCGCACCGGCGUCUCCGCCUCGGGGGGAAGAUGCGGCCUGCGGGGCCCGCCGUCUCGCCCCCGGCCUCAUGGCGGGGCCGGGACCACUGAGGAGGAAGGUCCCGGCCGCCGGACUGCGGGGCAGCGGGCACCAGUGAAAUCCCAUUCUCUGGCUGGAGACGCAGAUGGCCUCAAAUGAGAGAGAUGCUAUAUCGUGGUACCAAAAGAAGAUUGGAGCAUAUGAUCAGCAGAUAUGGGAAAAGUCAAUCGAACAGACUCAGAUUAAGGGCUUCAAAAACAAACCAAAAAAGAUGGGUCACAUAAAACCAGACUUGAUUGACGUUGACUUAAUCAGAGGCUCAACAUUUGCCAAAGCCAAACCUGAAAUUCCAUGGACAUCUCUGACUCGGAAGGGGCUUGUUCGAGUUGUAUUUUUUCCAUUGUUCAGCAAUUGGUGGAUUCAGGUUACCUCUUUAAGAAUCUUUGUUUGGCUGCUACUGCUUUACCUCAUGCAAGUUAUAGCACUCGUGUUAUAUUUUAUGAUGCCUAUUGUGAAUGUAAGUGAAGUACUCGGACCCUUGUGCCUUAUGUUACUCAUGGGAACUGUCCACUGUCAAAUUGUGUCUACUCAGAUAACAAGGCCAUCAGGAAACAAUGGAAAUCGGAGAAGAAGAAAAUUACGGAAAACUGUCAAUGGUGAUGGGAGCCGAGAAAAUGGAAAUAAUUCUGCUGAUAAAGUCAGAGGAGUAGAAACUUUGGAGUCUGUUCCCUUUAUUGGUGGUUUUUGGGAGACUCUCUUUGGCAACAGGAUUAAAAGAGUAAAAUUAAUAUGUAACAAAGGGACUGAAACUGACAACGACUCAAGUUGUCUGCAUCCUAUCAUCAAGAAGAGACAGUGUCGACCAGAGAUUAGAAUGUGGCAAACAAGAGAGAAAGCAAAAUUUUCAGAUGGAGAAAAGUGCCGCAGGGAGGCUUUCGGGCGUCUGGGUAAUGGGAUUUCAGAUGAUCUGUCAAGUGAGGAGGACGGCGAAGCCCGGACGCAGAUGAUGAUGUUGCGUAGGAGUGUGGAAGGGGCCUCAAGUGACAACGGCUGUGAAGUCAAGAACAGAAAAUCGAUCCUUACCAGGCACCUAAACACUCAGGUAAAGAGGUCCACUCCCAAGUGGUGUCACAUUGCACGGGAUUCGGACAGUCUGGCUGAAUCAGAAUUUGAAUCGGCAGCCUUCAGUCAGGGCUCUAGGUCUGGCAUGAGCGGUGGCUCUCGAAGCCUCAACAUGUCGAGAAGAGACUCAGAAAGCACCCGCCAUGACUCGGAGACUGAGGAUAUGCUAUGGGACGACCUGCUGCAUGGCCCAGAGUGCCGGUCAUCUGUCACCAGUGACAGUGAGGGGGCCCAUGUGAAUACCCUUCACUCAGGGACCAAACGUGACCCCAAAGAAGAUGUUUUUCAGCAGAACCACUUAUUCUGGCUUCAGAACUCAAGUCCUGCCUCUGAUCGAGUUAGUGCAAUAAUCUGGGAAGGGAAUGAGUGCAAAAAGAUGGAUAUGUCUGUGUUGGAAAUAAGUGGCAUCAUCAUGAGCAGGGUCAAUGCAUAUCAGCAAGGAGUAGGUUAUCAGAUGCUGGGAAAUGUCGUCACCAUUGGAUUAGCAUUUUUUCCUUUUUUACAUCGACUUUUCCAUGAGAAGAGCCUCGACCAGCUAAAGUCCAUUUCAGCUGAGGAGAUCAUUACUCUCUUUUGUGGGGCACCACCUGUUACACCUAUUAUUAUUCUGUCUAUGAUUAAUUUUUUUGAACGAUUGUGUCUUACUUGGAUUUUUUUUUUCAUGAUGUGUGUGGCAGAGAGAACAUAUAAACAGAGAUUUUUAUUUGCAAAACUCUUCAGCCAUAUUACCUCUGCCCGGAAAGCUAGGAAAUAUGAAAUACCUCAUUUCAGACUUAAAAAAGUGGAGAACAUUAAGAUAUGGUUAUCACUGCGUUCCUUUCUAAAGAGACGGGGUCCACAGCGUUCAGUUGAUGUAGUUGUAUCUUCAGUCUUCUUACUGACACUUUCAAUUGCUUUCAUUUGUUGUGCCCAGGUUCUUCAGGGGCAUAAAACUUUCCUGAAUGAUGCUUAUAAUUGGGAAUUUUUGAUCUGGGAGACAGCUUUACUACUUUUCUUACUGCGUCUGGCUUCAUUGGGGUCUGAAACCAAUAAGAAAUACAGCAAUGUUUCAAUAUUACUUACUGAACAGAUUAAUUUAUAUCUUAAGAUGGAGAAAAAGCCGAAUAAGAAAGAACAGCUUACUCUAGUAAAUAAUGUAUUAAAGCUGUCCACCAAGUUAUUGAAAGAGCUGGACACACCAUUUAGACUCUAUGGACUGACAAUGAAUCCCUUAAUCUACAAUAUAACGCGAGUCGUUAUCCUUUCUGCUGUCUCAGGUGUUAUAAGUGAUCUUCUAGGAUUUAAUAUAAGACUGUGGAAAAUUAAGUCCUAAGCUGAGCCAUGUACCUGGACUGUCCCCUUGCUGGCAUCAGUACUUACCCAUUAAGAAAGGAGAGGACUUGCAGAAACCAUGAGACACCGACCUGCUUGUUCACACACAGAGACCUCUUUGUGUUCAAGCAGUUUGGGACUCUCUAUGCUUCCUGGAUGCAGUUAAAACCUGGACGUGUGUUUCCUUCCCCAGGUUGGGAAAGUUUUCAGUUAUUGGUGCCCAUCUUGAAUAAUGAAGUUUGAAUUUCACAAAUGUGCAAUAAUGCCCUACCUUUCCUGCAGCAUGCCUGAGCAUGUAAGCUGUAAUAAGGUAUUACUCAAGGUAACAAAUGAUUGUCGUUUAUUAAGGACAAAAUAAGCCUCUUGCUUUGUGUAUUUGCUAAUAAUAGUUCUGUUUGGCUUUAAUGCAAACGUUGUGAAAUAGACAAAUUUCCAAAGGAUUCUCUGUCAAAAUUAUAGGUUUAGGCUAAGCUAAAGCACUUGGCUAUGUUUUCGUAUUUUUAACGUAAACGAGAAAGAGCCCGUAAGGCCCUCUUGCAGAGCAACAAUGAAAACAGAUCCAAGUUAGUGGCUCUCUUAAACUAAUUCAGUCAACUAAAGCAAAGAUUACAGAUUUCAUGUAAUAAUUAGGGCACGCUUUAAACCAGUCGUAUUACUGAUCAACCUUAAGAGCAUGACCAGUAGAGAGCUGCCUACACAAACAGAUGGUAUGUUUAACACACACAGACGUGCUUAGGCAUUGGAACAUGUCAUGAGGAUGUUGAAAGUUGCUCUGAUGUGUUCUUCAUACCAGACUGGCACGUCACAUUUUGUGCAAAGGUCCGUGUUUAUACCAGUGUUCCGUAGAGGCAACUUAUGGACUAAGCAGGUCAUUAGACUCUUAACACGUUUUCACUAAUUUGAAUAUUCCUUGUUUUAAAACUCUAUUCUCUUUGAAUGUCGGACAUAUUUCCACGAAAUUCAUUUGUACAUGUGUUUAAAAGCAUUUGGCUUUUUCUACGUGGGAAUAUCAAUUUAAAGGAAAAACCCAAGAUACUUUGAUGUGGAACUAAAAAGCCAAAUGCUUUUGUGUCUGAGACUUCUGAAAUAGUUGAUGCUGUUCAACAGCUCCUUGGUCUAUAAAAUUUGAUGUAACUAACGAUCUCAGUCUCUCAUCUGUAUGUAGCAAGACAAUGCAGUAGCAUCCCAGAAUUCCCAAACUAUUUUGCUGCCACUUUCUACAGCCUUUGCCAUGACAUGCAUCUCCACUGUGGGGCUUGGGAACUUGGGGAAUGGGUUUAAUUUUUAGUGUGAGUUCAUGCAAUGGUAGGAAUUUUUUACCCACAAGAGUAAAAUAACCAUGUUGUGAAAUGGGUUUCAUUUAAUAUUUGGUAUCAUUAUUAAUGCCCAAAACCUAAGUCAAAACACUUCAUUCUGAAAGUAAGUGUAACCUUUAGUAAAUGAAAUAAUUUACUGUUGGGUUUACACUACUCUCUCCAUUAGAAAGGUCUACUCACUGAACUUCCAAUAAGACAAGUCCUUUUCUCUCUGACAGUAUAGGAAAAGAUUUUGAAGGGGGGUAGCAAAUUAUGCAAAGCUAUUUUCUUUACAAUGAACAGGCAUAAUGAUAAACCAAUUUCAAGGUUUACAUACAGAUAAAAGGAAGCUAUACAGGUAAAGUCAUCAUUAUGGAUCUCCCCUGAUUGUAGGAUUUUGAACAUUCAUCUCUUGGAGGAACAAAAUCUAUUUGAGGACUCAGACUGUGAUAGGAAUUAGCUCCCUAAAGAGAAAGCAACAUUAAAUAAGCCUGACAGUAAAAGAAAUGCAGGCCGUAAACAGUUUUUGUUUUUUAAUAUCUAUAUAAAAAAUAACGAGCGAUUUACAGAUCUCUUUCUCUAAUCAGAACCUCAAGUGUAUAUAUAAAGGUACUGUACAAUAUAUAAACAUUUACAACCAGCACAUCCAUAUUUUGCUUAGCAUUCCAAGGCCACAUUGCUAAGUCAGUAUAGAAUCAGUACAGUGACAGGUUACUUAGAAAGAAAAGAGCCACAUCAGACUGACAACAUAUGACAUCCAAGUUAUGUCACAGUUAACAAUAAAAAUAGGAUUUUUAUCACUAAUUAAUUGUGGACUAUAGGGAAAAUAAAUCAUUUCUGUGGUGCUAAAUCCUUAGCAUGUAUCAAGCCUCCUAAUUUUUCUCUAUUCAAGUAGUUACAAUAGGUGGGUAAAUAUAGUUCUGGAUGAAAGGGGGUUUCAGAAAUCUCACUCUGGGGAGCAUGUCUCAGCUACAAGGGCUGCUUCAGUUGUUACAUUAAAGACUUUCACAGUCGGACUCUGAGCGGACAGGGCCUGGACGUACCAUGUUUCACAAGAACAAGAUGAACUCGUGUGACAGAACAGGUGUGUUCAAAUACUCUAUAAAAUGGUUUUGUUCUGAGAUUGUUCCUUGAUUCAGAGCUGCUACCGAAUGCUGCUGCAGGGGCCUGAAAGUCCUGGAUCUCUUUUAUGGAGCUAAAAAUGGUCUCUACCUCCCAACAAACAUCUUUACUUAGACUUUUAAAAAAGAACUCCGAAAAUGUGUACAAGCCAAGCAGAUGUCUAGACUCCCUUUUUUUUUGUUUUGUUUUAAAUAAGUUACUGUAGCUAGAAAUUAAAAACGAAAUCAGAUCUAGCAAGUGCUGUCUACCGCCACGCCAUGGCUGUCCUCCUGCUGAGCAGGUCUGAACACAGGCUCUGCCUCGAAACACCUGAGCGUGGACAGCUGCCGCCAGACGCCUGGUCCUUCACCUGUGAAACCGCUUUGUGAUCGAGGCCCUCACAGUCCGUACGACGUUUCGGCUCUUCACGUGCACGCUAUGGAGCAACGACUAACGAACGGGUAGCAGGAGGUCCAACCCAAGUGUCCAGAAAUAAAUAGAAACCUGGUAGUUUUUCUCUGAACCUCAGGAAGCAACAUGUCCACAUGCUUCUUUCUGGCUACAUAACGAAAUAAACUGAAGGAAAAGGGUGACCUGAGAUGCUAAGACCACAUCAGGGUUGGAUAAUACAGCAGGUGGGCGACUCUUCUUUGCUGAAAGCACUAGCUCAUUUUUAAACAUCCAAUUGUAAGUAGCCGAAUUAAAAACCCUAAGAAAGUGUCGCUAUUUAUUUGACUACAUUUUGUUUUUCCUUUCAGUAGUGACGCUUUGGAGUUUCAUUGUUAAACUGGGCCUGGGCCAUCACCAGUAGCUGUUAGAAGAGGCAACUGCCAUCUUCAGUGAUGAGCUAACAGUCCCUUCGUCUGCAAGGAUUCAAACGUGUCUCUCGGUAUAAACAUGCAGCAUGCUAUGAGAAUAUCAACUUCCGAGCCAAACCUAGUUUUUUCAUUCCUGUGGAAAUAGCUGAGUGAGACGGAUAAAACAGACAUGACACAGUAGAUAACUUGGCACAGAUAUCAAGUCACAGCCGUUUCUCGGCCACACCAGUAGUGCCUGCGGCUUUAUUCGCACUGGGCACCUUCCAGGGCCCUGGAGUUAUGGGUGUCUUCUUAACGGGAGAAGCGCUCUCAGGCACACCAUCCUUUAAUUCCUCUGUCUUUUCACAUAUCUGAACUCUCAUGAAAGAUUCUUCGGUUACUGGCACGGGAGACCCCUCAAGUACGGAAGCAGAAUGUGAAGAUGGGGGAAAUGGGGGCAGCUCGUCAUAAAUCACAUUUGACGACGCAGGAUUAACAUCCCGAUCACCUACAAGAAGGGAUUUGAGUGGAACAUCAGUAAAUUUUAGAAUUGCAAAUAGGAGCAGCACGCGUCUCUACAAAAGCAAUUACAUGUUUUCUGUGGAAACUGUGUCAUGUGUUCCAUCCCAACAAGAAUCAUGCCUGAAGCCACUUGUUCUGUAAUAUUACAGUAACUGUGCUGUGUAACUAGUUUACCUUUGAACUAGCCAGUAAACUCUCUCUCCCCUUCCAACAGAGGUGAUUCUUUUCCUGCCGCUGUCCCCUCCCUGACACGCCAGCAACUUUCCAGCUGCACAUGAGCUACGGGACUUACCGUGGUCAGGUAUCAAGCCAGUUCCUGGCCUCAAAAGCAGAAGAACUUUAUUUCCACCGGCCUGAAUGAGCUCAAUUGCUCGGGUAUGAGUGAUGCCUUGGGUAGGCUCCCCGUUGAUUUCGACAAUCUGGUCGCCCACCUAGAGAGGGAACAUUCGCGGGAACAACAUGAGACUGCGCUUCCUUCUUCACUUCGGCUCUGACAGCUCGAGAGCCGCCAGCCGCGCCGAGUGACCCGCUCUCAUUUGUCAGAUGUGUGACUUGCACCCAGUGCUGUCGUGCUAAGGCCGAUGAUGAGUGGACAGGGGACAGCAUCGGCAGAGACAGUGGCCAGCUUUAUUGACUCUGUAGAAAUCCUACAGGAGAAAGUUUUACAGGACUAGUAAACAGGAUCCGGGCACCCUGAAAUCCCAAAUCAGAUUCUGAGUUUUCCACCAAAGGCCAAGUGCCACCAGAGGUGAGGUCUCUACGAUCCUCGUGCGACUACAGGGCCGUAACUGAAGGAGCCACCUCUGAAGGGUACUUUCCAGUGUAAGCGGAAUCUUGAAUUUGUUUUCUGCAGUCUAGGCAGGUGGGUCCUUAUCUCUGAAGCCUUUCCGGGCCUCCGGGGACAACUGCCCACUCCUUUUUGUGUUGCCCACACAUCCUCCACGUAUAUGAGUAUUUGAGAACUGGAGUAUUCAGAGAUGAAAACUCUGAAAAACUGCAGCCUGGAGAAUAUAUGAAUAUGAAUACUUAUUUAAAACCAAUAACUGGCUUACGCUCAUGGCUUUAAUGUAAAAUGAUUUCCCUAAAAGCAUAAAACUCGGGAUCACAAAAAGAUGCCUCAGUAGCCCUGCUGUUUACUGGAAGUGCUGUUUACUGGAAGUGUUAAAAAAAAAAAAAGGGAUAAUAUAGAUAAUAUAGAUGAGUCAAGUAUAACUUUUGCAAAGGACCCAAUUAAAGAUAACUGAUUUUAAAAUCUGUCUCAAGGUGACAAGCAUGCAAAGGGGACUGGCUUCAAAAGAGAAGUACUGAACAAUGGAAAACUACUGAAAUUGCAAGAAGCUCAAAUAUUUAUAAGAGCUUACUAAAAUGAUCCAGAAAUAACACAAGAUGACCCAAUAAUUAUUUAACUGAGGCCGGUGGGGUGGGGUGAGUGCAGGACUGUAUCCACAGAUAGUUCAAAGCACAGGGGCCAGGAAGCUGGGCUCUGGCGUCCUAAUGUCUGUAGUUCACUCCUGGUCUACCUCUCUCUGGCCGGGUGGUCUCAGUUUCCUCCCUGUUAAAUGUGGAUAAAUAAUAUCAGCACCCACCUCUUGGGGCACUGGGGAGGAUUUAAUGAGAUAAAACCCAAUUACACACCAGCGACAAAUGUUACUUUUCAAGUUCUCUAUUUCCCUGUCUUGCCAAAAAAGUCUUCAUGUACUUAGGAUGAAGAUUUACCUGGGCUGUACCCCCCUCUCUACACUGCAAAAAAUGUCAAGUCAGCUCUGAGAAAGAAAAGAGAUUUUUUUUUCAUAGAUAUGCAGCAAAACAAAGAGUCUCUUCAAGAAAUGGAGGCUAUCAAAUGAGAUAGAUGGAUUUAACAUAGUAGAAAAAGGAUCUUUAAACAAAAUAAACAUAAUAGGAUGGAAAAAGUCAUAUACAAAUAAUUAAUAAAAAAGCUUAUAUCUAGUCUAUAUGUGAGUCAAAAGUCAAUACCCAGAUUUCCCUAAUAAGUGACUGAAGAAAAAUUAUUUGCAUGAGGAAAUACGUGUGAGUUAAUACUGGGUAUGAAAUCCUGCUGAUAAUGAGAGAAAUGAAAAUUAAGGCAGACAGUAUUCACAGAAUGCUUUGGGUGUGUCUUGUGAAACAUGACUGAGGUUAUCAUUGAUUGCAGUCACAUUCUUUGGCUUAAAUUCACUGUCCUAAGCAGCCUGUUUCUUACUCUCUUAGUACAAAUCAAUCGCAAUAAAGCUUGUAAUUGAACAGA